ACCUAAAUAUUCUGUCCCAUAUCAGUCAGCAACUCAAAAGAUGUGAGACAGAAACGUACACAAUUGAAAUACAGAAGGGUUCCGUGAACAAAAUUUGUGCGGUCACUAAUGCGUCAAUAUUUUAGCAGUCAAUCUUAUUGAGAAGAAAUCAACGAGAAUAGGUGAAGGCUCUACAAACCAAAUUCUCAAAGUGAUGGUGCGAGACAACCUGAGGAAGUUAUGUUUUUCCUUUCCAUUCUUCGAAUGAUCAAAACUGUCCAACACAAUAAUAAUAACAGAAUCGUCCUUGGCAGCAACAUAAAGUUGUUUAUAUGGCUGUUGAACUACCAAACGAGCUUCACACGGUCAAAACAUGUUGUAUUAGAUAAGUUAUCUUUGAUUUGUUGUAAAGUAGAAUGUUAUGUCUUGGAAGACAAGAUAUCAUGUAAUGAUUGUAGGAAGAAGUACUCAUUAAAUCAAUUGAAGAAGUUUUCUAUGCA